rnacentral:rRNA from 1 species
UACGUAGGGUGCGAGCGUUGUCCGGAAUUAUUGGGCGUAAAGAGCUUGUAGGCGGUUUGUCGCGUCUGCUGUGAAAAUCCGGGGCUCAACCCCGGACUUGCAGUGGGUACGGGCAGACUAGAGUGUGGUAGGGGAGACUGGAAUUCCUGGUGUAGCGGUGGAAUGCGCAGAUAUCAGGAGGAACACCGAUGGCGAAGGCAGAUCUCUGGGCCGUAACUGACGCUGGAGGAGCGAAAGCGUGGGGAGCGAACAGG